CUGACGCAUCACAAUAUUCUGCUGUUUGCGGGAUGACAGAAAGAACAUUUGUCGCAUGAUCAGCCUAUAUAAAACGGUUCUGCGGCCUGAAUCUUGUAAAGAUUAAGGAAAGAUGGCGUCCAACUCACACAUUUUUAUUAUACUGCGUCUUGCUGUAGUCCUCUUGGUGUUAAACGCGUGGACCUGCAAAGGAUCAUUUGACGAAGAAGCGAUCAAAAAAAGCUGCAAACCUUGGGAGACGUUCGGCUGCGUCAGCGGAUCUCCAGCAUGUGGUGAAAACGAAUGCGGCGUCGAAAAAAGGCAUUUAUCCUGUACCAAAGACUGUAGCAUUGGAUGUUGGUGUCAAGGCGAUUUGUACCGCCGAAAACGAGACAACAAGUGCGUCCCAAAAGACGACUGUCUACCGUGAGACCUUUCGUUCAACAAGGUAUCCCUGCAAAAAUUUAAAUUGUGGAAUGAUGAAUAAUAAAAUAAUCCUUCCGCAGAAA